rnacentral:rRNA from 1 species
AGUGAACGCUGGCGGUAGGCCUAACACAUGCAAGUCGAACGGCAGCACAGGAGAGCUUGCUCUCUGGGUGGCGAGUGGCGGACGGGUGAGGAAUACAUCGGAAUCUACUCUGUCGUGGGGGAUAACGUAGGGAAACUUACGCUAAUACCGCAUACGACCUACGGGUGAAAGCAGGGGAUCUUCGGACCUUGCGCGAUUGAAUGAGCCGAUGUCGGAUUAGCUAGUUGGCGGGGUAAAGGCCCACCAAGGCGACGAUCCGUAGCGGGUCUGAGAGGAUGAUCAGCCACACUGGAACUGAGACACGGUCCAGACUCCUACGGGAGGCAGCAGUGGGGAAUAUUGGACAAUGGGUGCAAGCCUGAUCCAGCCAUACCGCGUGGGUGAAGAAGGCCUUCGGGUUGUAAAGCCCUUUUGUUGGGAAAGAAAUCCAGCUGGUUAAUACCCGGUUGGGAUGACGGUACCCAAAGAAUAAGCACCGGUUAACUUCGUGCCAGCAGCCGCCGUAA